rnacentral:ncRNA from 1 species
CUCCGAUAAAGGCAAACCCGAAGAAAUUCGGGGACGCAAAGCCACGGGUCCGGAUCAAUGGACAGCCGAGCUGCCGAA